rnacentral:rRNA from 1 species
UACGGAGGGUGCAAGCGUUAUCCGGAUUUACUGGGUUUAAAGGGUGCGUAGGCGGGCCAUUAAGUCAGUGGUGAAAGCUCCGAGCUUAACUCGGAGACUGCCAUUGAUACUAUUGGUCUUGAAUUCGGUCGAGGUUGGCGGAAUGUGUCGUGUAGCGGUGAAAUGCUUAGAUAUGACACAGAACACCGAUUGCGAAGGCAGCUCACUACACGAAUAUUGACACUGAGGCACGAAAGCGUGGGGAUCAAACAGG